rnacentral:rRNA from 1 species
CAGCACCUCAAGUGGUCAGGAUGAUUAUUGGGCCUAAAGCAUCCGUAGCCGGCUCUGUAAGUUUUCGGUUAAAUCUGUAUGCUCAACAUACAGGCUGCCGGGAAUACUGCAGAGCUAGGGAGUGGGAGAGGUAGACGGUACUCGGUGGGAAGGGGUAAAAUCCUUUGAUCUAUUGAUGACCACCUGUGGCGAAGGCGGUCUACCAGAACACGUCCGACGGUGAGGGAUGAAAGCUGGGGGAGCAAACCGGAUUAGAUACCCGAGUAGUCC